UACGGAGGAUGCGAGCGUUAUCCGGAUUUAUUGGGUUUAAAGGGUGCGCAGGCGGACUGUCAAGUCAGCGGUAAAAUGUCGGGGCUCAACCCCGGCCGGCCGUUGAAACUGGCGGUCUGGAGUUGAAGAGAAGUAUGCGGAAUGCGUGGUGUAGCGGUGAAAUGCAUAGAUAUCACGCAGAACUCCGAUUGCGAAGGCAGCAUACCGGCUUCAUACUGACGCUCAUGCACGAAAGCGUGGGGAUCGAACAGG
rnacentral:rRNA from 1 species